AGUAGAAUACCAUGUCCGGCUGUCCCUUCUUCCCGGAUCGAUCUCCCCCUUCUGCGUGACCGCGAGUCUCUUCGACGUCCGGCGACUUCGGCGUGCUUCGUCCCUUCUCCCAAGGGCUACAGCAAAGGAACCUUAGAUCAGGAGAAGACUCUGUCCGACUGUCCCUUCUUUACCUUUUGGCUGAGAUGUUGUUGUUGGUUGGAUUCUUGCUCGAUGAUCGCUAGCAAAUGAAAGCAAAAAGGCUCAUAAAUAGUUGUUCAGAGCAAAUCUUGGGAUUUUGGUAUAACCUGGGUGAUGAAUCUCAGGUUUGAUUCUUUAUGAAUAACAAGGACAAUGCUUUUGUUUUAUUUGUAUAAUUUCCGGCUGGUAGUUUACAUUAUUGAUCUUGUUUUCAUACUUGGAUUGCGGCCAUCUAUUUAUUUUCUUAUGA